rnacentral:rRNA from 1 species
CCUACGGGAGGCAGCAGUGGGGAAUAUUGGGCAAUGGGCGCAAGCCUGACCCAGCAACGCCGCGUGAAGGCAGAAGGCUUUCGGGUUGUAAACUUCUUUUGACAGGGAAGAGUAGAAGACGGUACCUGUCGAAUAAGCCACGGCUAACUACGUGCCAGCAGCCGCGGUAAUACGUAGGUGGCAAGCGUUGUCCGGAUUUACUGGGUGUAAAGGGCGUGUAGCCGGGUUGACAAGUCAGAUGUGAAAUCCUGCGGCUUAACCGCAGAACUGCAUUUGAAACUGUUGAUCUUGAGUACUGGAGAGGCAGACGGAAUUCCUAGUGUAGCGGUGAGAUGCGUAGAUAUUAGGAGGAACAACGGUGGCGAAGGCGGCCGCCUGGCCUGUUACUGACGCUGAGGCACGAAAGCGUGGGGAGCAAAUAGGAUUAGAUACCCCAGUAGUC